GGGGAUGUACAGGCUUCGACGGCGCGGCGUAGCGACGGAAAGCAAGUGGUAGGGUCGACUACCUAAAAACGCAAAAGGCUAUAAUUGCCAACAAAAACGAAAACGCCAAAGUCAUGAAGUUCGCGGCUCCGGUUGCGGCUCCGGCAAUGGCAUUCGCAGCUUAAUUUAGCUACGGCGUUCGUCCCCGCUACCUAUCGGCGGUGCGGCGAGCGUAAUUAAACGGUAGGCUCCUCGGUGCGGCGGCGGUCGUUCCGUAUCGAGUAACAAGACCUUGCGCAUGCAAACCUUUGUUUAUUGCGGUUUGCCUGCGGACGCCGAGCGAUAAACUAAACUUGUAGAAGUCCCCGCAAACCCGCGUCGGAAACCGGUUCGAUUCCGGUCAUCUCCACCA
rnacentral:tmRNA from 1 species